UACGUAGGGUGCGAGCGUUGUCCGGAUUCAUUGGGCGUAAAGGGUGCGUAGGCGGCGCGGUAAGUCGGGUGUGAAAUCUUGGAGCUUAACUCCGAAACUGCAUUCGAUACUGCCGUGCUUGAGGACUGGAGAGGAGACUGGAAUUUACGGUGUAGCGGUGAAAUGCGUAGAUAUCGUAAGGAAGACCAGUGGCGAAGGCGGGUCUCUGGACAGUUCCUGACGCUGAGGCACGAAGGCCAGGGGAGCAAACGGG
rnacentral:rRNA from 1 species